UACGUAGGUCCCGAGCGUUGUCCAGAUUUAUUGGGCGUAAAGCGAGCGCAGGUGGUUUAUUAAGUCCGGUGUAAAAGGCAGUGGCUCAACCAUUGUAUGCAUUGGAAACUGGUAGACUUGAGUGCAGGAGAGGAGAGUGGAAUUCCAUGUGUAGCGGUGAAAUGCGUAGAUAUAUGGAGGAACACCGGUGGCGAAAGCGGCUCUCUGGCCUGUAACUGACACUGAGGCUCGAAAGCGUGGGGAGCAAACAGG
rnacentral:rRNA from 1 species